rnacentral:rRNA from 1 species
GACGAACGCUGGCGGCGUGCCUAAUACAUGCAAGUUGAGCGCUGAAGGUUGGUACUUGUACCAACUGGAUGAGCAGCGAACGGGUGAGUAACGCGUGGGGAAUCUGCCUUUGAGCGGGGGACAACAUUUGGAAACGAAUGCUAAUACCGCAUAAAAACUUUAAACACAAGUUUUAAGUUUGAAAGAUGCAAUUGCAUCACUCAAAGAUGAUCCCGCGUUGUAUUAGCUAGUUGGUGAGGUAAAGGCUCACCAAGGCGAUGAUACGUAGCCGACCUGAGAGGGUGAUCGGCCACAUUGGGACUGAGACACGGCCCAAACUCCUACGGGAGGCAGCAGUAGGGAAUCUUCGGCAAUGGACGAAAGUCUGACCGAGCAACGCCGCGUGAGUGAAGAAGGUUGUCGGAUCGUAAAACUCUGUUGGUAGAGAAGAACGUUGGUGAGAGUGGAAAGCUCAUCAAGUGACGGUAACUACCCAGAAAGGGACGGCUAACUACGUG